GAUAGUUGGCGGGGUAACGCCCCACCAAGUCGACGAUCGGUAGCCGGACUGAGAGGUUGAACGGCCACAUUGGGACUGAGACACGGCCCAGACUCCUACGGGAGGCAGCAGUGAGGGAUAUUGGUCAAUGGGGGAAACCCUGAACCAGCAACGCCGCGUGAGGGAAGACGGUUUUCGGAUUGUAAACCUCUGUCCUCUGUGAAGAUAGUGACGGUAGCAGAGGAGGAAGCUCCGGCUAACUACGUGCCAGCAGCCGCGGUAAUACGUAGGGAGCGAGCGUUGUCCGGAUUUACUGGGUGUAAAGGGUGCGUAGGCGGCUCUGCAAGUCAGAAGUGAAAUCCAUGGGCUUAACUCAUGAACUGCUUUUGAAACUGUAGAGCUUGAGUGAAGUAGAGGUAGGCGGAAUUCCCGGUGUAGCGGUGAAAUGCGUAGAGAUCGGGAGGAACACCAGUGGCGAAGGCGGCCUACUGGGCUUUAACUGACGCUGAGGCACGAAAGCAUGGGUAGCAAACAGGAUUAGAUACCCUGGUAGUCCAUGCCGUAAACGAUGAUUAUUAGGUGUGGGGGGUCUGACCCCCUCCGUGCCGGAGUUAACACAAUAAGUAAUCCACCUGGGGAGUACGACCGCAAGGUUGAAACUCAAAGGAAUUGACGGGGGCCCGCACAAGCAGUGGAGUAUGUGGAUUAAUUCGAAGCAACGCGAAGAACCUUACCAGGUCUUGACAUCCAACUAACGAAGCAGAGAUGCAUUAGGUGCCCUUCGGGGAAAGUUGAGACAGGUGGUGCAUGGUUGUCGUCAGCUCGUGUCGUGAGAUGUUGGGUUAAGUCCCGCAACGAGCGCAACCCUUACUGUUAGUUGCUACGCAAGAGCACUCUAGCAGGACUGCCGUUGACAAAACGGAGGAAGGUGGGGAGGACGUCAAAUCAUCAUGCCCCUUAUGCCCUGGGCCUCACACGUACUACAAUGGCCAUUAACAGAGGGAAGCAAGCCCGCGAGGUGGAGCAAAACCCUAAAAAUGGUCUCAGUUCGGAUCGUAGGCUGAAACCCGCCUGCGUGAAGUUGGAAUUGCUAGUAAUCGCGGAUCAGCAUGCCGCGGUGAA
rnacentral:rRNA from 1 species